GCACAGUGGGGACUUCCAAGUGUCUGAACAGCCUGCCCCUGGGCCCCCACUGCCAGCCUCUAGAGCUGGGACAAAGCCAUCUCUGCUCUUCAUGGGGAUCCAGGUGCUCAGGUCCUUGUCAGCAGGGGACAAGAACCCCUGCCCACAGAGCCCAGAGGCCAGCGCUGCUCCGGGUCCUGCUGACUUCUGUUGGCCCAAGGCUAGGACUGCAAAGCCCACACUCAGCUGCACUUGGGUUCUGCCGCGGGGGCCCCCAGCGCCUGCCUCUGCGCCCACCCUGCUCACAGGAGUGCACUCGGCCCCCACUACUGGGUUCAGGGCACCUGGGCCUUCCAGGGGUCCUCAGAUGGCUGAAGGGGAUCCAGUGCCGGCUGGACCACCCCGCAGGAGGAUCCAGGGAAGCUGCCCAAGGCCCUGCCAGGCCAUGCUGUCAGAAGCUCCUGAAAGCAGAACUGCUGAGCCCGGGGAGGACAAGGAGGACUAGGAAGAGGUUCUGCUCACCCGGGCCAAGCAUGGGACCCCCCCAACUCCUCCAUCCCCAGCACCCAGGCCUCUGUGGGCCCUGAGGACUUACUUCGGUGGACCUUGAGGACGGUGUACACCAUGCCGCCAUGGACAGGGCCUCUGGGUCCAGGGACGACAACCACACGAGAACUCUGGGGCAGCUGUGUCGGUUGCAGCAUUCAAGUCGCAAGUACUUGAUCCGGCACCUGCAGCCUCCCUGGAUCCCAAGGGCCGAGCAGCCGGAAGCGCACCUGCACACAGUUGUGGGAGGCGGGCAGCGUCCCGCGGGACAACGGCUGCGCCUGGACGCCCACCCCGUGCGCAGCGCUCCCCGGCGGGACGCUGUGACCGGAAGUGCUGCUGGCGCGUGACCUGCUGCUCCCGCGCGCCUGGGUUCCAGCCUGAGCGUUGAAGAAACGGCCAGGAGCCGCCAGGAGCUGGUGUCUGAGGCUGGGAAAGACCCAGCCCAGCCAAGGGUCAGGCCCGUGGCGGCCACGCCGUUUUCGGGGACGUGCUGGAACUCUCUUCGUGAUUUUCUGCGGGGGCCCUAGCGGUUCUCCACGGCGGCUUCCGUACAGGCAGAAGAUAUGGGGUGUCAGUAGUCUCUUCUGCCAGCAAGUAUGAUGGAAUAAGAGAAGGUGCUAGAAGAUCAAGCGUGUCUCCAAGAGAUCUAGACUUUUUGAAGUGCCCUUGUGAGUGUUGCUGAAAAGGAAUACAGUGAUCUGGACUCUACUGUGUUCAGUGAGUGAGGAAGAGUGACUGUGUGGUUGGCAGGUGAUCGCAACAAUGAAGGCAACAAGGGCACCACACCCUGACCACAUGGCUGCUGACCACUGCACCUGCUUCACAGGGGACUGGCACCUCAGUGUGGAGAUGAGCAAUGGCGAACACACAGAAGGGCCUGGUUAUCCUCAUGACUCCUGGGGCCACAGCUAGUGCAGGAGUUUUGCGGUAUUGAUGAUACAGGAGACACAUGCCUUUUAAGAAAGGAGGAAGAACUUCAGUUGUACACCAUUUUCCGAUGUGGGGAAUGGAUGAAGAGUUUGAACAGCUGAGUUUGAAAUACUGGAUCUAGGAUUCCUUACAGAGUGUGUGACUGGCCAGAGGUCCUGACACCUUUAAGACUCAAGUGGAAACACAGCAUCUACUAUCUAUGGAAGGUUUCUUGUGAAGAUGAAAUAAUACUGGUUAUGACACAGGAACAUGUGAGGUCCUAAUAUUACAUUCGUUAGACAUGUGUCAUUUCUUUCAGGCCCUCUGCAGAUUACUUAUGUAACUUGAUAAUACUUUGCCUGUCUGACGAAUGCCUCUCUGUCACAGACAGGCACUUGAUGUACUUUGGUCAGCAAAAAGUGAGUGAGUGGACUUAAUGAGUAUGAUGCUGAACCGGGACUUUGACCACCUGUUGGGCCCCACUCUCUUCUCUUUGCUUCUCUCUGAAGACAGCCAUGGAAAACCAUAUGGGGCUGCUCAUUCAGCCCAGGGCCUAUCUACAAGUAACCUGGGGCAGCUGAUGCCCACAUAGCACAAGGGAAAUAGAAUCCUUUCUUAUUAGAAGCACUGAAAUGUCAGGAUUGUUUGUUAUCACAAUGUUUGGUAGUCAGCUGGCUGAUUCCACAAGCUUGAGUAAUUAUCCCAAAUUCGGGGGGGAAGCAUAAGAAUGAGUGAAUAUGAAUUUUAAAGAUAAAACUUGAAA